AUUGAACGCUGGCGGCAGGCCUAACACAUGCAAGUCGAACGGUAACAGGAAGCAGCUUGCUGCUUUGCUGACGAGUGGCGGACGGGUGAGUAAUGUCUGGGAAACUGCCCGAUGGAGGGGGAUAACUACUGGAAACGGUAGCUAAUACCGCAUAACGUCGCAAGACCAAAGAGGGGGACCUUCGGGCCUCUUGCCAUCGGAUGUGCCCAGAUGGGAUUAGCUUGUUGGUGAGGUAACGGCUCACCAAGGCGACGAUCCCUAGCUGGUCUGAGAGGAUGACCAGCCACACUGGAACUGAGACACGGUCCUGACUCCUACGGGAGGCAGCAGUGGGGAAUAUUGCACAAUGGGCGCAAGCCUGAUGCAGCCAUGCCGCGUGUAUGAAGAAGGCCUUCGGGUUGUAAAGUACUUUCAGCGGGGAGGAAGGGGAUGUGGUUAAUAACCGCAUUCAUUGACGUUACCCGCAGAAGAAGCACCGGCUAACUCCGUGCCAGCAGCCGCCGUAACAC
rnacentral:rRNA from 1 species